rnacentral:rRNA from 1 species
UGCAUUGGAUUGAGAACAAUGUACAACUCUUAUCGAUAAGCCAUUGGAGGGCAAGUCUGGUGCCAGCAGCCGCGGUAAUUCCAGCUCCAAUAGCGUAUAUUAACGUUGUUGCAGUUAAAAAGCUCGUAGUUGAAGUGUGGGUGAUGCUGGCUGAGAAACUUCGGUCACUCGAAUGAUCACCACCCCCUUCCAGUAUCCAGUAGUGGGUAUUCAGUUACUUACUAUUGUGUGUUGGUCGUUUACUGUGAGAAAAUUAGAGUGUUCAAAGCAGGCGUUUGCUUGAAUAGAUUAGCAUGGAAUAAUAAUUGAAGGCUUUCGUGUUCGAUUUGAUUGGUUUGUUCAUGGAAGCAAGGUUAAAAGGAACAGUUGGGGGUAUUCAUAUUCACUAGUUAGAGGUGAAAUUCUCGGAUUUAUGGAAGAUGAACAAGUGCCGAAAG